CUGGAGCCGGUUCCGCACGGCCAUGGGCGCCUGGAUCGCGGCGUGCCGGCAGGACGGAGAAGAGAAGCAGGACGUGGCGACUGGUGACACUGGACCAGUGCUGGCGGAGGACGACGGA